UAAAUAGAAUGAGAGGCUUUAACAUAUGUGUCUCUCGUUUAUGGGAAUCAGAGGAAUAUCGAAUGGUAGGCGAGAUAUCGUUUCAGUCGCCCUUUCCUUGAUUGGUGAUUCGAUUGUUGCUCGUCAACAU